rnacentral:misc_RNA from 1 species
GUUUACAUGUGGAACGGGGGGUCUACGCGGCAUCAGUUAGAAAAAAAGCUGAUGUACUAAAGAAAGAGAAGGAGUUCCUAAACACCGCAACCAGAGUAGAUGAGGCUAUGGAUGAGUCUGAUGCCACAGAUGAGGACAUGGAGGAUGAGGCUUCAACCUCAAAAAAAGAUGUGAGAAAGAGGGUUGGGAAAGCUGACAGAUCUGCUAUG